CUUCCUUUACAUGUCAUUUAUAUCUUUUCUUUUUCACUUUUAUUUGACAUCUCUCUGAAUAACUUUUUCUCCUCCUUCCUUCUCUUUAUCCUCCAAGGUUCUGAGCACGCUGCCACGGCGACGCUUCCCGCCGCCUUCUCGGACCUGUUACCUCACUUCUUGGUAGAGCCGGAGGACGAGUACAUCGUAAAGAACAAGCCGGUGACUCUGACCUGCCGCUCCACCCCGGCCACGCAGAUCUACUUCAAAUGCAACGGCGAGUGGGUUCACCAAGAUGACCACUUGAUUGAACGGACUGUUGACCCAGCAACAGCGCUGCCAGUCAUGCAGGUGACAAUCGAAAUAACCAGGCAGCAGGUGGAGAAGAUCUUCGGACUUGAUGAGUACUGGUGUCAGUGUGUCGCCUGGAGCACCACCGGAACCCAGAAGAGCCAGAAAGCAUACAUCAGGAUUGCUUACCUGAGAAAGAACUUUGAGGAGGAGCCGCAGGGUAAAGAGGUGGCAUUGGACCAGGAGGUGUUGCUGCGCUGCCAUCCCCCCGAGGGAGUGCCACAAGCCGAGGUGGAGUGGCAGAGAAACGAGGAUGUGAUCGACCCAGCGAGUGACCCCAAUUUUGUCAUCACGCCCGACCAUAAUCUCGUCAUCAAAAAAGCCCGGCUGGCCGACACCGGCAACUACACGUGCGUGGCCAAAAACAUCGUCGCUCGCCGCAAAAGCACCUCUGCCGCGAUCCUUGUCUAUGUGGACGGAGGCUGGAGCGAGUGGAGCAAGUGGUCAGCAUGUGGCGCAGACUGUUCGAUGUGGAGGAGCAGAGAGUGCACCCAGCCCUCACCUGGCACAGGGGGCAAAGACUGCCAGGGGCUUGAUCUCCAGUCUCUCAACUGUACCAGCGAGCAGUGUCCACAGACCGUGAGCGGAGCCGAGGACGUGGCGCUCUAUGUGGGCAUGGUGGCCGUGGCCCUGUGUCUGACCCUGCUGCUCAUUGUGGUCGUCCUGGUCUACAGGCGCAAGAAGGAAGGCCUGGAUGCCGACGUGGCCGACUCCUCCAUCCUCACCACUGGCUUCCAGCCCAUGGGCAUCAAGCCCAGCAAGCCAGGUGUGUGGGCGCCGCGGUCACGCAGGGCUCCCCCCCACAAGAACUCCCAUUUACUCACCAUCCAGCCUGAUCUAACCACCACCACCACCAGUUAUCAAGGCACCCUGCGCUCUCGCCACGAUGCCACCGGGAAGUUUUCGAUGACCAACGGGCCUCUGCUGGACCCGCUUCCCAACGGCUCACACACCUUGCACAACGGCAAGCUCAACUCUGAUGCUGCUGCCGAGUUUGUGAGCAGGCUCUCCACCCAGAGCUACUUUAAAACGCUGCCCCGCGACGUGGCCAACACCUCCUACGGGACCUUCAACUUCCUAGGCGGCAGGCUGACUAUCCCCAACACAGGAAUCAGUCUGCUCAUUCCUCCCGAGGCCAUCCCCAGAGGAAAGAUCUAUGAGAUUUAUCUCACUGUUCAGAGGAAGGAAGAUUUAAGGUUACCCCUGGCUGGCUGCCAGACCCUCCUCAGCCCCAUUGUGAGUUGUGGCCCUCCGGGGGUGGUCCUGAGCCGGCCAGUUAUCCUCAGCAUGGACCACUGCUUUGAUGCAUGCCUGGAUAACUGGGCCGUGCGCCUUAAGAAGCAGAACUAUGAGGGCGCUUGGGAGGACGUCCUGUUGAUGGGAGAGGAGCUGGUGUCAGACCCUUAUUACUGCCAGCUCGAGGCCGAGACGUGCCGGCUCUUCUCGGAGCAGCUGGGUACAUUCGCCCUGGUGGGCGAGUCCCUGCACAUGGGCGCCGCCAAGCGCCUGAGGCUGGUGCUCUUCUCGGACGCUUACUGCUCCACGCUGGAGUACAACAUCAGGGUAUACUGCAUGGACGACACGCAGGACGUCUUCAAGGAGGUGAUGCAGAUGGAGCGGCACUACCACAACCUGCGCCUGUCCAUCCAUGACAUGCCCCAGGCGCACUGGAGGAGCAAGCUGCUAGCCGGCUACCAGGAGAUCCCAUUCUACCACAUCUGGAACGGUUCCCAGCGGUACCUGCACUGCACGUUCACUCUGGAGCGGCUCAGCCUCAGCACCUGCGAGCUCACCUGCCAGCUGUGUGUGUGGCAGGUGGAGGGGGAGGGACAGAGCUUUAGCCUGGACUUUAACAUUGCCAAGGACACUCGAGCGUUGGACUCUGAGUUUCUGUUAAUGGACAGUAACGCCACAGCUCUGGCGGGACCCAGCGCCUUUCAGAUCCCGUACCUCAUCAGGCAGAAGAUCUGCAGCAGCCUGGAUGCCCCCUGUCCCAACGGAGCCGACUGGAGAAUGCUAGCACAAAGACUUAAACUCGAGAGACACAUGAGUUUCCUUGCAUCCAAAGCGAGCCCAACCUCUGUGAUCCUGGACCUAUGGGAGGCGCAACAUUUCCACAGCGGCAACAUCAACCAGCUGGCCACGGUCAUGGCCGACAUCGGCAAACAGGAAGCCAUGAUAUUCCUGGUCUCCGAUGGCGAGUGCUAA
rnacentral:lncRNA from 1 species